CUUCUUUUUCUUGGCAGAGAUUGGGCUUGUGGUCCCACUCCUUUUAUGUAUGGCAGCAGAGGGAACAGGCUCUUGUACCCUUGGCAUUAUAUAUUCUAUACUAAUGGCUUUCCACUCACCAGUUCUAUUUUCAAGCACCAAGACACUG
rnacentral:snoRNA from 1 species